rnacentral:rRNA from 1 species
UACGUAGGGUGCAAGCGUUAUCCGGAAUUAUUGGGCGUAAAGAGCUCGUAGGCGGUUUGUCGCGUCUGCUGUGAAAACCUAAGGCUCAACCUUGGGCUUGCAGUGGGUACGGGCAGACUAGAGUGCGGUAGGGGUGACUGGAAUUCCUGGUGUAGCGGUGGAAUGCGCAGAUAUCAGGAGGAACACCGAUGGCGAAGGCAGG